rnacentral:rRNA from 1 species
AGUGAACGCUGGCGGUAGGCCUAACACAUGCAAGUCGAACGGCAGCACAGAGGAGCUUGCUCCUUGGGUGGCGAGUGGCGGACGGGUGAGGAAUACAUCGGAAUCUACUCUGUCGUGGGGGAUAACGUAGGGAAACUUACGCUAAUACCGCAUACGACCUACGGGUGAAAGCAGGGGAUCUUCGGACCUUGCGCGAUUGAAUGAGCCGAUGUCGGAUUAGCUAGUUGGCGGGGUAAAGGCCCACCAAGGCGACGAUCCGUAGCUGGUCUGAGAGGAUGGUCAGCCACACUGGAACUGAGACACGGUCCAGACUCCUACGGGAGGCAGCAGUGGGGAAUAUUGGACAAUGGGCGCAAGCCUGAUCCAGCCAUACCGCGUGGGUGAAGAAGGCCUUCGGGUCGUAAAGCCCUUUUGUUGGGAAAGAAAUCCAGCUGGCUAAUACCCGGUUGGGAUGACGGUACCCAAAGAAUAAGCACCGGCUAACUUCGUGCCAGCAGCCGCCGCCG